UUCCUCUUCCAGUUAUCAACAAGGUUUCUGGUAUCCACCACCAGCAGCUUAUUACCAGCCUAUGCCGCAACAUCCCCAGAGGCCUAAUAAACUAGGACUUGGUGCAGUUGUGCCCCUAGUUAUGAUGGCUGCUAAUAUCUUAUUUCAGUAAGACUGUGCCACAGAUGGCGAAUAAUUUAGGGGAUGAUGAUAUUUGUGGUUUGGGCCAUCAUUCUAGUGUUUGGU
rnacentral:lncRNA from 1 species